UAAUCAAAAGAACUCUAGGGCAGAGGGUAGAGAUGAGUUCCAGGGCAGAGGAAAUCUUGAAGGAUUAAGUGGUUUCCAGAUGAGAAAGACCCAUAGACAACUUGGAUCAAAAUACAUUCAUUAAGAGAAGGCUGGCCUGCUCUGGGAUUCUUCUUCUUCUUUAGAGCUCUUUCAUGGAUUGUAGAUUGAGAGUUUCCCUGAGAGUCAAGGGAGAAG